rnacentral:lncRNA from 1 species
GUGCUGAGGUAGUUCUUUCGGGUUCUGAGAACUCGGGUAGUCAUGGCAACACAGAAGGGUGGGGUGGGUGAGGUGGGGGUUCCUAGCAGCAUUUCGUUUCAAAUGCCAGAUUAAAGGGAAAACUUCUUUGGAGUUUGCCUCGGCUCUGCUGACAAGGACUGAGAGUGGAAAUGGAGGAUAUGAGGUGGAAGCAAGGCCCUUUGUGAGGAGACCGACACAACCUCCAGACCAUGAAAAGCCAGGCGAUGUGUUAAGAUCUCUAGAAGGAAAAAAGAAGACCUUCUUGGAGCAGAGACGGAGCUAACAAAAAAAGAGUUUUAGCAACGCCGCAUGGUCUUUGAAUACAUUUUUCUCAGCUCAAAAAAACCAUUCCCU